rnacentral:rRNA from 1 species
CAGUAGCCGCGGGAAUACGUAGGUCCCGAGCGUUGUCCGGAUUUAUUGGGCGUAAAGCGAGCGCAGGCGGUUAGAUAAGUCUGAAGUUAAAGGCUGUGGCUUAACCAUAGUACGCUUUGGAAACUGUUUAACUUGAGUGCAAGAGGGGAGAGUGGAAUUCCAUGUGUAGCGGUGAAAUGCGUAGAUAUAUGGAGGAACACCGGUGGCGAAAGCGGCUCUCUGGCUUGUAACCGACGCUGAGGCUCGAAAGCGUGGGGAGCAAACAGGAUUAGAUACCCCAGUAGUCCCUGUCUCUUAUACC